UUGGAGGGCAAGUCUGGUGCCAGCAGCCGCGGUAAUUCCAGCUCCAAUAGCGUAUAUUAAAGUUGUUGCAGUUAAAAAGCUCGUAGUUGUAUUUCGGGAUUGACGUGAUGGUCAUGCCUUAAGGGGUAUGAACUGUUACUGUUGGUUUCUCACCUUCUGGAGAAACUUGAUGUCCUUUAUUGGGUGUCUUGCGGAUCCAGGACCUUUACCUUGAAAAAAUUAGGGUGUUUAAAGCAGGCAUUUUUGCUCGAAUACAUUAGCAUGGAAUAAUAGAAUAGGACGGCAUGGUUCUAUUUUGUUGGUUUCUAGGAUCACCGUAAUGAUUAAUAGGGAUAGUUGGGGGCAUUAGUAUUCAAUUGUCAGAGGUGAAAUUCUUGGAUUUAUUGAAGACUAACUACUGCGAAAGCAUUUGCCAAGGAUGUUUUCAUUAAUCAAGAACGAAAGUUAGGGGAUCGAAGACGAUCAGAUACCGUCGUAGUCUUAACCAUAAACUAUGCCGACUAGGAAUCAGACGAUGUUAAUUUUUUAAUGACUCGUUUGGCACCUUACGGGAAACCAAAGUGUUUGGGUUC
rnacentral:rRNA from 1 species